GACGUAGGGAGCGAGCGUUGUCCGGAUUUAUUGGGCGUAAAGGGCCAGUAGGCGGCUUGGCAAGUCAGGUGUGAAACCUCCAGGCUCAACCUGGAGACGCCACUUGAUACUGCUAUGGCUUGAGUCCGGUAGGGGAGCAUGGAAUACCCGGUGUAGCGGUGAAAUGCGCAGAUAUCGGGUGGAACACCAGUGGCGAAGGCGGUGCUCUGGGCCGGAACUGACGCUGAGGAGCGAAAGCAUGGGGAGCGAACAGG
rnacentral:rRNA from 1 species